rnacentral:snoRNA from 1 species
AUGCAUUUCUGACAGACCUGGAGCAGUUAAUGUCUGCUGCUAAGGUUUCCACGAUAGAUGCAAAAAAAAGGUCCUUACACUUUCUGUCUGUCUGGUUGUGGCAGCCAAGAUUGAAUGGGGAAAUGCAGGA